GGUGUAGCUUAGUGGUACAGCAUGUGCUUAAUAAGAACAGGGCCCUGGGUUAAAUUCCUAGUACC
rnacentral:tRNA from 1 species